rnacentral:misc_RNA from 1 species
UCCGGCUUAUCACCGGCAGUCUCCCUAGAGUGCCCAACUAAAUGAUGGCAACUAAGGACGAGGGUUGCGCUCGUUGCGGGACUUAACCCAACAUCUCACGACACGAACUGACGACAGCCAUGCAGCACCUGUGUCUAGGUUCCCUUUCGGGCACACUCACGUUUCUGCGAGCUCCCUAGCAUGUCAAGGGUAGGUAAGGUUGUUCGCGUUGCAUCGAAUUAAUCCACAUCAUCCACCGCUUGUGCGGGUCCCCGUCAAUUCCUUUGAGUUUUAACCUUGCGGCCGUACUCCCCAGGCGGAUCACUUCACGCGUUAGCUACGGUACCAGGAGAUCGCUCCCCCAACACCUAGUGAUCAUCGUUUAGGGCGUGGACUAC